rnacentral:rRNA from 1 species
GACGAACGCUGGCGGCGUGCUUAACACAUGCAAGUCGAACGGAAAGGCCUCUUUCGGGGGGUACUCGAGUGGCGAACGGGUGAGUAACACGUGAGUAACCUGCCCUUGACUUUGGGAUAACUUCAGUAAACUGGGGCUAAUACCGGAUAGGAGCUCCUGCUGCAUGGUGGGGGUUGGAAAGUUUCGGCGGUUGGGGAUGGACUCGCGGCUUAUCAGCUUGUUGGUGGGGUAGUGGCUUACCAAGGCCUUGACGGGUAGCCGGCCUGAGAGGGUGACCGGCCACAUUGGGACUGAGAGACGGCCCAGACUCCUACGGGAGGCAGCAGUGGGGAAUAUUGCACAAUGGGUGGAAGCCUGAUGCAGCAACGCCGUGUGCGGGAUGACGGCCUUCGGGUUAUAAACCGCUUUCGCUCAUGACGAAGCUUUGUGUGACGGUAGUGGGUAAAGAAGCACCGGCUAACUACGUG